rnacentral:misc_RNA from 2 species
AACGCACAUUGCGCCCUGUGGUAUUCCGCAGGGCAUGCCUGUUCGAGCGUCAUUUCAACCCUCAAGCCCUGCUUGGUGUUGGGCCCUGCCCGUUGCGGCCGGCCCUAAAGUCAGUGGCGGCGCCGUCCGGCUCUAAGCGUAGUACAUCUCUCGCUCUAGGGCCCCGCGGUGGCUUGCCAGCAACCCCAACUCCUAUGGUUGACCUCGGAUCAGGUAGGGAUACCCGCUGAACUUAA